CACCUGUUCUAUCUCUUAUUCUCUCUACUGAAUCUAUACCAACUAAAAGAAAAACACCUCUUGGACACACAAGAGCUGUUAUCUUUUGUCCUUGCCCAGCUUUUCAGGAAAACCCUAUGAAAGGGGUGCCUACAUAGUCCCCACAUCCCAUCACCCGUCUUUCCCUCACUGCCACUUAAGCCUGACUUCUGGCAAGAGGGUCACAAUGCCUCCUGCAUGACCUCACUCAGCCCUGCCUCUAUCCAUUGAUCUGACCCCUAAUUAUGUGGUCACUGGCAGCUGCUCUCAGGUGUCCUUGCUCAAGGGAACACACAGCACACAGCCUGUGGAGGGUGGAGGAACCAACUGCAAGGAUGUGAUUGUGGAUGGUCUGUAGUUAGAAGUACAAGUGUGUUCAACCUCAGCAUAAAAUCAGAAAUGCACACUGAUGGAGUUGCUCACAUGACUUCCCAGUGGAAGGAGGUAGUACUCUUUCUCAAGUCUUUUCCCACCAUAAUAUUUGGGCUGAGAGAGAAAACUGGGACGAGCUAGAAAGAUAGGCCAGUACCACCAAUGAUUGCUGUGUCCUGGGAGACCCCUGCGAUUGGUCAAUGUGUUGUUGACCAUUUCCAGGGUGGUGAUUAGGAGGACAAUGGAGAGAGACGUUGAUCAACUCCAAGGCUCUAACUAAACCUGCUGCAGAGAAAUCUGUGCUUAUUAACAAAGGAGUUUCCAGAAAAACAGGGUAGCAACACACCCAGAUUGUCUGGGGCAGUCCCAGUUUAUGUCUGUUGUCCCAACUAUCAAUAGUAGGCUCCUAAAAAGUUUUUCUGUUUGGGUUAUAAAUUAUUUGGUGAGCUUGCGUAGGGAGCACUGGCCUUUCCCACCUGACCCACCAUGACCCACCUGAGGCAGACUUUCUCCCUGUGUGAGGAAAGUGCAGCUCAGACAGCCUUUUAUGCCCGACCCUGCUCGUUCUCUAAACCUCAAGCUCUUUUGCUGUCAAACACACAUAACUAGUUUAUCUCACUAGAAAUCUGUUCCUUUAUUUAAAAAAAGUUAUCUUUCUUCGUUUAGCAAGAAAGACUGUAGAAUAAGCAAAAGUUUUGAUUGUUGGUAGAGUUCAAAUCCCAACUCAAUCACUAGUUGUAGCUAACUUGUUAGAGAAAACGCCUAUCUCAUGUAAAAG
rnacentral:lncRNA from 1 species